GUGCCAGCCGCCGCGGUAAUACGGAGGGGGUUAGCGUUGUUCGGAAUUACUGGGCGUAAAGCGCACGUAGGCGGAUUAGUCAGUCAGAGGUGAAAUCCCAGGGCUCAACCCUGGAACUGCCUUUGAUACUGCUAGUCUUGAGUUCGAGAGAGGUGAGUGGAAUUCCGAGUGUAGAGGUGAAAUUCGUAGAUAUUCGGAGGAACACCAGUGGCGAAGGCGACUCACUGGCUCGAUACUGACGCUGAGGUGCGAAAGCGUGGGGAGCAAACAGGAUUAGAUACCCUUGUAGUCC
rnacentral:rRNA from 1 species